AUGAUCGGGCCUCGCACGAGGAUUUGCUCACUUGAACACGGAAUUUGCACGAGUAUUGGGCCUUGCACGAGGACAAUCCCUGCACGAGGAUCAGGCCUUGCACGAGGACAAUCCUUGCACGAGGAUUUGGGCCUGGCACGAGGCCGGUGCUCACACCUGGGCACGCUCCCCGCUCGUGCCAGGCCAGCCCCGGGACUGAGCGUGAGUGUGAGCGUGAGUGUGAGCGUGAGUGUGAGUGUGAGCAGGGCUGGGGGCUCACACGGGGCUGUGCACGCUCGUGUGAGGCACGGGGAGGGGUCGGGGGCGUGCAAGGGGGGUUUGCACAAGGAUCGCCCCCAGCGCCGCGCGGGGCCGGCGUGCAAGGGCUGGGCUUUGCACGGGGACGGGCCUUGCACACUCGUGAGGGCACGGGGAUGCUCUUGCACACUCAUUAUUGCACAAGGAUGUUCUUGCACACUCGUGAGGACAUGGGGAUGUUCUUGCACACUCGUGAGGGCACAGGGACAGGCCUUGCACA
rnacentral:lncRNA from 1 species